UACGUAGGGUGCGAGCGUUGUCCGGAUUUAUUGGGCGUAAAGAGCUCGUAGGCGGUUUGUCGCGUCGGCCGUGAAAUCUCCACGCUUAACGUGGAGCGUGCGGUCGAUACGGGCAGGCUAGAGUUCGGUAGGGGAGACUGGAAUUCCUGGUGUAGCGGUGAAAUGCGCAGAUAUCAGGAGGAACACCGGUGGCGAAGGCGGGUCUCUGGGCCGUAACUGACGCUGAGGAGCGAAAGCGUGGGGAGCGAACAGG
rnacentral:rRNA from 1 species